UACGAGGGGGGCAAGCGUUGUUCGGAAUUAUUGGGCGUAAAGGGCGCGUAGGCGGUUUGACAAGUCUGAUGUGAAAUCUCUGGGCUCAACCCAGAGUCUGCAUUAGAAACUGUCGGGCUUGAGUAUGGGAGAGGUGAGUGGAAUUUCCGGUGUAGCGGUGAAAUGCGUAGAUAUCGGAAGGAACACCUGUGGCGAAAGCGGCUCACUGGACCAUAACUGACGCUGAGGCGCGAAAGCCAGGGGAGCAAUCCGG
rnacentral:rRNA from 1 species